rnacentral:rRNA from 1 species
GACGAACGCUGGCGGCGCGCCUAACACAUGCAAGUCGAACGGAGUCAAGAGGAGCUUGCUUUUCUUGACUUAGUGGCGAACGGGUGAGUAACGCGUGAGUAACCUGCCCUGGAGUGGGGGACAACAGUUGGAAACGACUGCUAAUACCGCAUGAGCCCACGGAUCCGCAUGGAUCUGCGGGAAAAGGAUUUAUUCGCUUCAGGAUGGACUCGCGUCCAAUUAGCUAGUUGGUGAGGUAACGGCCCACCAAGGCGACGAUUGGUAGCCGGGCUGAGAGGUUGAACGGCCACAUUGGGACUGAGACACGGCCCAGACUCCUACGGGAGGCAGCAGUGGGGGAUAUUGCACGAUGGGGGAAACCCUGAUGCAGCGACGCCGCGUGGAGGAAGAAGGUUUUCGGAUUGUAAACUCCUGUCGUUAGGGACGAUAAUGACGGUACCUAACAAGAAAGCACCGGCUAACUACGUG